rnacentral:rRNA from 1 species
UACGAAGGGUGCUAGCGUUGUUCGGAAUGACUGGGCGUAAAGGGUGUGUAGGCGGUUAGACACGUCAGAUGUGAAAUCCCCGGGCUUAACCUGGGAAUGGCAUUUGAUACGGUCUAGCUAGAGAUUGGUAGAGGGUAGUGGAAUUGCGAGUGUAGAGGUGAAAUUCGUAGAGAUUCGCAGGAACACCGGUGGCGAAGGCGGCUACCUGGGCCAAUACUGACGCUGAGGCACGAAAGCGUGGGGAGCAAACAGG